rnacentral:rRNA from 1 species
CCUACGGGAGGCAGCAGUGAGGAAUAUUGGGCAAUGGACGAGAGUCUGAACCAGCAAAGUAGCGUGAAGGAAGAAUGCCCUAUGGGUGGUAAACUUCUUUUAUAAAGGAAUAAAACGAGGCACGUGUGCCUUUUUGCAUGUACUUUAUGAAUAAGGAUCGGCUAACUCAGUGCCAGCAGCCGCGGUAAUACGGAGGAUUCGAGCGUUAUCCGGAUUUAUUGGGUUUAAAGGGAGCGUAGAUGGGUUGUUAAGUCAGUUGUGAAAGUUUGCGGCUUAACCGUAAAAUUGCAAUUGAUACUGGCAGUCUUGAGUACAGUUGAGGUAGGCGGAAUUCGUGGUGUAGCGGUGAAAUGCUUAGAUAUCACGAAGAACCCCGAUUGCGAAGGCAGCUUAUUAAACUGUGACUGACAUUGAUGCUCGAAAGUGUGGGUAUCAAACAGGAUUAGAUACCCGAGUAGUC